GCUGGUGUGACUCAAUGGUAGAGUAAUUGUUUUGUAAGCAAUAAGUUGAAGGUUCAAGUCCUUUCACCAGCUCCA
rnacentral:tRNA from 1 species